rnacentral:lncRNA from 1 species
GAGAGGUUUGAAAUUGGAAGUUGCAAGGGUUGAGAAUUGGGGAGCGAGCUUGACGGAGACGCCGGAGAAAGAUGUUCGGAGAAGAGAGUGAGAAGAGAGAGGUGAAGGUGAGACGAGAGUUUGUGAAGCCAUUGCUAGUUGCAGAGUGAGAUAGAUAGAGUUCGAGGUGUUUGUGAUAAUGCAACAGAGAAUGUGUGAAAUAAAAUUGUAUUAUCAUACAAUUUUAGUUUCUACCCCUUUCUCUACACACUUCUCUCUAGUUUUGUUUUUUCUU